rnacentral:tRNA from 1 species
GAGUGUAUAGCUCAGUGGUAGAGUGUGUGCUUAGCAUGCACAAGGUCCUGCGUUCAAUCCCCAGUACCUCCA